rnacentral:rRNA from 1 species
AGGACGAACGCCCUGGCGGCGUGCUUAACACAUGCAAGUCGAGCGGAAAGGCCCUUCGGGGUACUCGAGCGGCGAACGGGUGAGUAACACGUGAGCAACCUGCCCUUAGCUCCGGGAUAGCUCCGGGAAACCGGAAUUAAUACCGGAUACGACCACGGCCGACAUCUGCUGUGGUGGAAAGGAUUCCGGCUAAGGAUGGGCUCGCGGCCUAUCAGCUAGUUGGUGGAGUAACGGCCCACCAAGGCGACGACGGGUA